CUCCGGUUGAUCCUGCCGGACCUGACUGCUAUCGGAUUGGUACUAAGCCAUGCGAGUCGUUGUAGCAAUACAAGGCGGACGGCUCAGUAACACGUAGUCAACCUAACCUAUGGACGUGGAUAACCUCGGGAAACUGAGAAUAAACCGCGAUAGAUCAUUAUGCCUGGAAUGGCUUAUGGUUCAAACAAUUUAUUGCCGUAGGAUGGGACUGCGGCCUAUCAGCUUGUUGGUGAGGUAAUGGCCCACCAAGGCUAUAACAGGUACGGGCUCUGAGAGGAGAAGCCCGGAGAUGGGUACUGAGACACGGACCCAGGCCCUAUGGGGCGCAGCAGGCGAGAAACCUUAGCAAUGUGCGAAAGCACGACUAGGUUAAUCCGAGUGAUUUCUGUUGAAGAAAUCUUUUGUCAGUCGUAAAACCACAGACGAAUAAGGGGUGGGCAAGUCUGGUGUCAGCCGCCGCGGUAAUACCAGCACCUCGAGUGGUCAGGAGGUUUAUUGGGCCUAAAGCAUCCGUAGCCGGCUACGCAAGUCUCCGGUUAAAUCCAGCUGCUCAACAGAUGGGCUGCCGGAGAUACUACAUAGCUAGGGAGCGGGAGAGGUAGACGGUAUUCUGUGGGUAGGGGUAAAAUCCACUGAUCCAUAGAGGACCACCAGUGGCGAAGGCGGUCUACCAGAACGCGUUCGACGGUGAGGGAUGAAAGCUGGGGGAGCAAACCGGAUUAGAUACCCGGGUAGUCCCAGCUGUAAACGAUGCAAACUCGGUGAUGCAUUGGCUUAUGGCCAAUGCAGUGCCGCAGGGAAGCCGUUAAGUUUGCCGCCUGGGAAGUACGGACGCAAGUCUGAAACUUAAAGGAAUUGCCGGGGGAGCA
rnacentral:rRNA from 1 species